rnacentral:rRNA from 1 species
AGUGAACGCUGGCGGCAUGCCUAACACAUGCAAGUCGAACGGAAGCACACUAAGUGCUUGCUCUUACGGGUGGCGAGUGGCGGAUGGGUGAGGAAUACAUCGCCCUCUACUUUUUCGUGGGGGAUAACGAAGGGAAACUUACGCUAAUACCGCAUACUUCCUACGGGUUAGAUCAAGGGUUCUUCGGACCUUGCGCGAUCUCAUGAGCUGUGGUCGGAUUGGCUAGUUGGCGGGGUAAAGGCCCACCAAGGCGACGACCCGUAGCUGGUCUGAGAGGAUGGUCGGCCACACUGGAACUGAGACACGGUCCAGACUCCUACGGGAGGCAGCAGUGGGGAAUGUUGGACAGUGGGCGCAAGCCUGGUCCAGCCAUACCGCGUGGGUGAAGAAGGCCUUCGGGUUGGAAAGCCCGUUUGUUGGGAGAAAAAAGCAGCAGGUUAAUACCCCGCUGUUCUGACGGUACCCAAAGAAUAAGCACCGGCUAACUUCGUG